CCCUUAGAUGUUCUGGGCCGCACGCGUGCUACACUGAGUGGAUCAGCGGGUCAGGUUGCGCGAAAGUGUUUCCUAAUCUUGAAAUCCGCUCGUGAUGGGGAUUGACGGUUGCAAUUUUCCGUCAUGAACGAGGAAUACCUUGUAAGCGCGGGUCAUCAUCCCGCGCUGAAUACGUCCCUGCCCUUUGUACACUCCGCCCGUCGCUCCUACCGAUUGAGUGGUCCGGUGAGGCUUUGGGAUCUGAGCGGAAAGAGCGUUUCGCUGUUUCUGCUCGGAAAACUCAGUCGAACCUUAUCAUUUAGAGGAAGGAGAAGUCGUAACA
rnacentral:rRNA from 1 species